UGAGCACCCACAUAGUCAUAAACAUCACUUCCAGACACCACUGUGUGCUGCACACAGCAGCCUCGCCUCAGUGUCCUGAGGCCCAGCCUCUUCUCCUGCCUUGGUCAUUUCACAGUCCUGACAUUUUAAGACUUGAACAUCCAUGUGAAUCUAAUAUUCUACUCCUUCAUGGUCAUCCUUGAUAGUCAUCCUUGAUGGACCCCUUGAUCAUCCUUGAUGGACUUUUUGGUCAUCCUUGAUGGUCAUCCUUGAUGAAUUCCUUGAUGAUCAUCCCUUCCUGUCAUUCCUCUUUGUCCAUUUCAACAGAAUGGAUGCCUUGGUGAUGGUGUUUUAUCACAACAGCAGAAAAGUAGCCAAUACAUCUCAAGAAAAUUAGCUGGUUUCUGUAUCAAUGGGAGAAAAUGAGAAAAUCAGCUGAACAGACCUCCAAAAUGUUAUGAAAUUAUUAUUUCAUAAUAAUCUGAACCAACUGAUAAGAACUGACUCUAUGGUUAGAAGCCUACUGAAAGGGGAGCUGGAGAGAUGGCUUAGAGGUUAAGAGCACUGCUUGGUCUUCCACAGUUCCUGGGUUCAAUCCCCAGUAACCACAUGAUGGCUCACAGCUAUCUAUAAUGAGAUCUGGUAUCCUUUUCUGGGGUGCAGACAUACAUGCAAAACACUGUAUACAUAAUAAAUAAAUAAUUUUUAAAAAGAAACCUACUGAAAGUCAGCAUAUAGUUUUAAAACUGUUGUUUCUUUGAAGAGCUAAUUUAGUUGUGAUGACUAAAUAAAAAAAACAAGAAGUCAGUUUGUCCAAAUGCAUUAAGCUAUCAGUCAACUCAAUGAAAAGUGUCAGUUGACAGUUACUUAUUGGGGACAAUUUAUUGAUAGAUCAGCAAAAAGAUAGCUUAUCAGUUAAAAUCACUCAUCCACAAUAAACUUCUAAAGUAUUUGAGAAUUGGGGAGAUGGCUUACUGGGGAAAGAACUUGUCGUGCAAGCAUGAAGACCCAAGUUCUGAUCUCUGGCAGUCAAGUAAAAUCCUGGGGACAUGUUGCAUGCCUGUAGUCCCAGGGUGAGGACACAGGAUCCCUUGCACUUGUUGGUCAGUCAAUCCAGAUUAACCAGUGAGCUCCACGUUCAGUGCAAGGCCUUGUCUCACAAAAGGAAAAAGGAGGAGAACAACUAAGGAAGACAACUGAUACCAACCCCUGGCUCCC
rnacentral:lncRNA from 1 species